ensembl:lncRNA
GAUGGUUCUAUAGCAUUUUCUAUCAUUGCUUCAUUAUGGAUUAGGUGUAAGAGUUGUUAAGUGUGGAUAAUUAAAUAAUAGUUUAACGCAACAGCAAAUUGUGCCUUGUUCUCAGAUGGACAGCAAGUGAAGAGUGAUAGAUAAGAUGAGGAGAUGGAAGGAGGAAGAGUGAUUCACAGGCUCUGCCUGUGAAUUGUUGCCUUAUGGUUCUAAGCACUGUCACCAAUCUUUGCAUUUUAUUAUUAAAUCGUAACACUUUUUUUAAUCAGCUACCAUCUCUCCUGUGGACUUUUUAAUGUCUACAGUCUCAGAUCAACACAGCCCUGCCCUCCAGCACUAUCAGCAGCAGCAGAAACCCCUCAACAACAUUGUACCCAUCAGGUAACACAUAGGGAUGCAGCAGCAGACUGAACCUCGACUGAAACCUGCUCCAUCAUCUCAUCUUUGCAGAUGUCCAUUUAUAAAGCAUCAACAACUCAAAGGAGCCGUCCUCAGAUUCAGACCUCAGCACCACCCAGUGACAGCAGACAGACCAUCCUAUAUCUUCAGUCUUUGUAGUAACUCCAAAAUUAACUGAAGAAAACAGUACAAGGGUUAAAGUACCACAUGUGCUGUCAGUGAAAGCUGCAGCUGUUUUAUUGAUAAAUUUAAAGACAAAAAGUCAAAAGGAUUAAUCACCCCUGUAACUGUGUCACAAUACAUCAGCAUUAACAGGACCUCAGUUAGGUGUUUCAGAAAACUGCUGAUCUCAGACCUGCACAACUUCUGUU